GGAGAGAUGGCAGAGCGGUCGAAUGCGGCGGUCUUGAAAACCGUUGAAGGUUACACUUCCGGGGGUUCGAAUCCCUCUCUCUCCGCCA
rnacentral:tRNA from 1 species